GUCCACGCCGUAAACGAUGGAUACUAGCUGUUGGGAGCGAUCUCAGUGGCUAAGCGAAAGUGAUAAGUAUCCCACCUUGGGAGUACGUUCGCAAGAAUGAAACUCAAAGGAAUUGACGGGGGCCCGCACAAGCGGUGGAGCAUGUGGUUUAAUUCGAUGAUACGCGAGGAACCUUACCAAGGCUUAAAUGUAGUUUGACCGAUUUGGAAACAGAUCUUUCGCAAGACAAAUUACAAGGUGCUGCAUGGUUGUCGU
rnacentral:rRNA from 1 species